AGAGUUUGAUCAUGGCUCAGGAUGAACGCUGGCGGCGUGCCUAAUACAUGCAAGUCGAACGGGGAGUAGUAAUACUUCUAGUGGCGAACGGGUGAGUAACGCGUGGGUGACCUGCCCCGAAGAGUGGGAUAACAGUUCGAAAGGACUGCUAAUACCGCAUGAGGUUCCCGGGUUUAGAAACCGGGAACGAAAGCAGCAAUGCGCUUCGGGAGGGGCCUGCGUCCCAUCAGCUAGUUGGUAAGGUAACGGCCUACCAAGGCGACGACGGGUAGGGGGCCUGAGAGGGUGAUCCCCCACACUGGCACUGAAACACGGGCCAGACACCUACGGGUGGCAGCAGUAGGGAAUAUUGCACAAUGGGCGCAAGCCUGAUGCAGCAACGCCGCGUGCGCGAUGAAGGCCUUCGGGUCGUAAAGCGCUUUUCUGGGAGACGAGGAAGGACGGUAUCCCAGGAAGAAGGCUCGGCUAACUACGUGCCAGCAGCCGCGGUAAUAC
rnacentral:rRNA from 1 species